GUUUGCAAUGAGUUAAGUAGGAUCAUUGUUUCUGGGGCUGUUCAUAUCCCCAGACUUUUCACAGCCCUGGCAGAGGCUGACUCUGUAAUAAGUCUCACAUUACACAUGGAUUAGAUUUGUAGAAAUCCUGUAACUCAAUAGGUACCUGCCUAUUCUCUCCUGGCGUCAGGCUGCCUGCACUACUUUGCUCUGUAGACAUACCUGGCAUUCCACCCGUGCCUCCUCGCUGGCUAAGUGGGCUGGAGCCUGCCUACCAAAACAUUGGGGUAUUGUUGGGAAGCGGAGACCCCCUUGACAGACGAGCGAAGUGUGAAGGUUAGUCUUGCAAUGCCUUAUUACCUUCCUAUGAAGUAUACAUGCAGCCCUUUUAAACUUCCUUUACACAACUGUAGUGUGGGAAAUCAGAUCUGCAGAAACAUUUGGGAGUAGCAGGGGGUGGAGAUGCACUGUAGACAUGGAUAAAGCCAGUCCGACCCCGAGCCCUUCCGGCUUCCCCCCAGCUGCCACCAUCAUGUUUGUUUACACUAAUGGAGGAAGACAACAAAAACAUAUUUGGCAAUGCAUCAAGAAUGUGAAAUUACUUGAUUUCUGGGAACUUUGCCAGUUCAUCAUCUCAUCCUGGAAGAUAAUGAAGACUCCUAGUGAUCUCAUGAAGAUGUGUAUGAUUCUAACAACCUACUAACAACUUUUAACAUUAAAUGUUAAUAAAGCCUAAAGGUCACAUUAAUAUUAAGAGAUC
rnacentral:lncRNA from 1 species